GAAAUCUCUGCAGAGCACGCCAGUCUAAAGUUGCCGCACUUAUUACCCAACUUUCUUGGACAGCUGACCUAUCAACAAGCCAGCAAACAUUAUCGACCCUGUUCUAUAUGCAAGACAGGAGAUAGGGGAUAUGAAAGAGACAUAAAGAUAACAGGACACGAAGCUUUAAUGAGUUGCAAGACGAUAGAUUAUGAAGCAAGAGGUUCCA
rnacentral:lncRNA from 1 species